GUGCCACUGCUCUCCACCUUGGGUGACAGAGACUCUUGUCUCAAACAAACAAAUAAAUAAAUAAAUAACUCUGAUAAGCCCACUAAAAAAAAAUUGUAAGUAAGCUGAACCAUCUUAAGUCCAGAUGCUGCUCGAUUUAACUAUGGGGUUUCAACCUGAUAAACCCAUUGUAAAGUCAAAAAAUUAUGAGUCGAACCAUCUGAGUCGAGGACCACCUUGACUAAGUUCAGUAGGUUCAGUUCAAGAUAACCCAGCUUUUGUUA